rnacentral:misc_RNA from 1 species
ACGAAUCGUGCUUUGGUGGGUGAUUAUGUCAUUCGCCAAACAUAUGUGCUCUCCAGGCAACUGGAGGUGCAAAUAUCAUAUAUAUGAUGUAGUGUAUUAUUAUCUAGUGAAUGUUGGUUGAGUUGACUGUCUCACUCGUGACGCAGUCAAUGCAAUGAAUGUAAUCAAAUG